rnacentral:rRNA from 1 species
UACAGGGGGUGCAAACGUUGCUCGGAAUCAUUGGGCGUAAAGCGCACGUAGGCGGUUCGUUAUGUCGGAUGUGAAAGCCCUUGGCUUAACCGAGGAAGUGCAUCCGAAACUGGCGAGCUAGAGUACGAAAGAGGAUCGCGGAAUUCCCGGUGUAGAGGUGAAAUUCGUAGAUAUCGGGGAGGAACACCGGUGGCGAAGGCGGCGAUCUGGGUCGAUACUGACGCUGAGGUGCGAAAGCGUGGGGAGCAAACAGG